CAAGUAGGUGGUCUCAUUUGUCUAGGGUGAAAUCCUUGAGCUUAACUCAAGAAGUGCCCUAGAAACGGUGGGACUAGAGUUCUGGAGAGGGUCGUGGAAUUCCCGGUGUAGCGGUGAAAUGCGUAGAGAUCGGGAGGAACACCAGAGGCGAAGGCGGCGACCUGGACAGAUACUGACACUCAACUGCGAAAGCGUGGGGAGCAAACA
rnacentral:rRNA from 1 species